ACUCUAGUAUUGACUCCAAUCCACAUGUAUUGAGGUGGAUUAGAGUGUAACUUAAAAUAAUUUACACCCCAAUUCACCUCAACACAUGUGGAUUGAGGUCAAUACUGGA
rfam:Zea mays cultivar B73 chromosome 5, whole genome shotgun sequence.